AUUGAACGCUGGCGGCAGGCUUAACACAUGCAAGUCGAACGAGUGGCGGACGGGUGAGUAAUGCUUGGGAAUCUAGCUUAUGGAGGGGGAUAACUACGGGAAACUGUAGCUAAUACCGCGUACCAUAGGAUGAGCCCAAGUGGGAUUGGGUAGUUGGCGAGGUAAAGGCUCACCAAGCCGACGAUCUCUAGCUGGGCUGAGAGGAUGACGAGCCAAACGGGGACUGAGACACGGCCCAGACUCCUACGGGAGGCAGCAGUGGGGAAUAUUGCGCAAUGGGGGCAACCUGACGCAGCCAUGCCGUGUGUAUGAAGAAGGCCUUCGGGUUGUAAAGUUCUUUCGGUAGCGAGGCGUUAACUACAGAAGAAGCACCGGCUAACUCCGUGCCAGCAGCCGCGGUAAUUC
rnacentral:rRNA from 1 species